GCUGCUACUCAGAAACCUGACAUACCACAGUUAUUAGUUUUGUAAUUUCAUAUUUGAGUUCCUUCAGGACUCGAGUGAAUGCCAUCUGGCCCUGGUGACUUAUUCUUCAAUUUGUUCCAAAACCUCCUCUGAGACCUCAAUCUGGGACAGUUCCUCAGAUUUGUCACCUAAAAAGAAUGGCUUCCUCUGCAGUGAAGUCUGAUGCAAAGAAUUCAUUUAGCUUUUCCACAAUGGAAAAGUACUUCAGUUGUCCACUGAUUUUCCUUCUUCUGAUGUGGUUAAAACAAAAUUGCUCUUAGUUUGUGUGUCUUUGCUAGCUGCUCUUCAGAUGCUUUUUUUUGGCCUGCCUAAUUAUACUUUUACACUUGCCACAGUUUAUACUCCUUUCUAUUUUCCUCAGUUGGAUUUGAUUUCCCGCUUUUUUUCAAAAUGUCUUUUUGUCUCUAACUGCCUCUUUUACUCUGUUUAGCCAAAGUGGCUUGUUUUUUAGGGGGUCCUCUUACAGUUUAUAUUUAAACUUGGGGUAUUGUUACCUAUGAACUCUGUGUUCUUGGGGAACCAGGGCGCAGUAUCGAGUCUGUCUGACUGAUGAAAGACCUUCCCCCCGCCCAGCCUCUACUUGAGCCAAAGCCGAUCAGAAGAAAGACUUACAAAAAGCAAUGAAAAGGCAGUAGAAGACUCACCUAAACCCCUCCAGACAAGGGUGACAGGAUUAAGGAAACUCCCCAUGCCUCAUUUGCAUCA